GGUUAUCCCUCUGAACCACUUCUUCUUCUUCAUGUGACCACUUCUUCUUCUUGCAAAGCUUCUAAAAUAAUCUUGGAAAAUCAUUUUUGGAUCUAAACUCAUCAUCAUCAAUCCAUCACAAAAAUCAACUCAGUUUCAGAUCUAAAUAUAAACCCAUUUUUAUGAACAUGAACACACCAUUCUUAAACCUUAGAAUUUGUGAUUUUCCCAAAUACUUGACUGCCAAUUCCAGAUUCGAAUCGUCACUUGCAUUCACAAGCCAUGGACUUUCGUGA
rnacentral:lncRNA from 1 species